rnacentral:rRNA from 1 species
AGAGUUUGAUCCUGGCUCAGGAUGAACGCUGGCGGUCUGCUUAACACAUGCAAGUCGAACGAAUCCCUUCGGGGAUGAGUGGCGGACGGGUGAGUAACGCGUGAGAAUCUACCAAAAGGACUGGGACAACCACUGGAAACGGUGGCUAAUACCGGAUGAGCCGCAACGUAAAAGAGGAAACUCGCCUUUUGAAGAGCUCGCGUCUGAUUAGCUAGUUGGUGAGGUAAAGGCUCACCAAGGCGGCGAUCAGUAGCUGGUCUGAGAGGAUGAUCAGCCACACUGGGACUGAGACACGGCCCAGACUCCUACGGGAGGCAGCAGUGGGGAAUUUUCCGCAAUGGGCGAAAGCCUGACGGAGCAAGACCGCGUGAGGGAGGAAGGCUCUUGGGUUGUAAACCUCUUUUGUCAGGGAAGAACACAAUGACGGUACCUGAAGAAUCAGCAUCGGCUAACUCCAUGCCAGCAGCCGCGGUAAUACGGAGGAUGCAAGCGUUAUCCGGAAUUAUUGGGCGUAAAGCGUCCGCAGGUGGCACUUCAAGUCUGCUGUCAAAGACCGGGGCUUAACCCUGGAAAGGCAGUGGAAACUGAAGCGCUAGAGUGUGGCAGGGGUAGAGGGAAUUCCCGGUGUAGCGGUGAAAUGCGUAGAGAUCGGGAAGAACAUCGGUGGCGAAAGCGCUCUACUGGGCCACAACUGACACUCAGGGACGAAAGCUAGGGGAGCGAAUGGGAUUAGAUACCCCAGUAGUCC